rnacentral:rRNA from 1 species
UACGAGUGCCCCAAGCGUUAUCCGGAAUUAUUGGGCGUAAAGGGUGUGUAGGCGGUUUUGUUAGUCUCAUGUUAAAGCUCUCGGCUCAACCGGGAAAAUGCAUGAGAUACGGCAAAACUAGAGGAUGCGAGAGGUAUGCGGAACUCAUAGUGUAGGGGUGAAAUCCGUUGAUAUUAUGGGGAACACCAAAAGCGAAGGCAGCAUACUGGCGCACUCCUGACGCUGAGACACGAAAGCGUGGGUAGCGAAUGGG